GACCUUUAGUUUGAAACCCCGAAACCAGGUGAGCUACCCCGAGACAGCCUAUUGAGGGCCAACCCGUCUCUGUGGCAAAAGAGUGGGAAGAGCUCCGGGUAGAAGUGACAGACCUACCGAACCUGGUGAUAGCUGGUUGCCUAAGAAAUGGAUAGAAGUUCAGCCUCGUACUCCCCAAAUCAAGUAAACAUUAACAAGACAACAAGAGAAAUACACGAGAGUUAGUUAAAGGGGGUACAGCCCCUUUGACAAAGGAUACAACCUUUCUAGGAGGAUAAAGAUCAUAAUACAUAAAACAUACUGUUCUAGUGGGCCUAAAAGCAGCCACCUAAACAGAAAGCGUUAAAGCUCAGACAGACAGAAGUUUAUUAUCCUGAUAAUAUAUCUCACUCCCCUAAAUACUAUUAGGCCAACCCAUGCCCACAUGGAAGAGAUUAUGCUAAAAUGAGUAACAAGAAGGCCCGCCCUUCUCCAAGCACAAGUGUAAGCCAAAUCGGACUAGCCAUUGGCAACUAACGAACUCAACCCAAGAGAGCAAUGUGGUAUUACAAAAAACCUAGAAAAACCCACAACCUAAAUAUCGUUACCCCCACACUGGAGUGCAACAAAGGAAAGACUAAAAGAAAAGGAAGGAACUCGGCAAACACAAGCCUCGCCUGUUUACCAAAAACAUCGCCUCCUGCAACACAACCAAGUAUAGGAGGUCCAGCCUGCCCAGUGACUACAAGUUCAACGGCCGCGGUAUUUUGACCGUGCAAAGGUAGCGCAAUCACUUGUCUUUUAAAUAGAGACCUGUAUGAAUGGCUAAACGAGGGCUUAACUGUCUCCCCUUUCCAGUCAGUGAAAUUGAUCUACCCGUGCAGAAGCGGGUAUAAUAAUACAAGACGAGAAGACCCUUUGGAGCUUAAGGUACAAAACUCAACCACGUUAAGCAACUCAAUAAAAAAUGAAAACUUUGUGGAAUAUGAAACUUUACCUUCGGUUGGGGCGACCACGGAGGAAAAAAAAGCCUCCAGGUGGACCGGGAGAAUUUCCUAAAACUAAGAGAGACAUCUCUAAGCCACAGAACAUCUGACCAAAUAUGAUCCGGCUAAUACAAGCCGAUCAACGAACCAAGUUACCCUAGGGAUAACAGCGCAAUCCUCUCCCAGAGUCCAUAUCGACGAGGGGGUUUACGACCUCGAUGUUGGAUCAGGACAUCCUAAUGGUGCAGCCG
rnacentral:rRNA from 1 species